rnacentral:rRNA from 1 species
CCUACGGGUGGCAGCAGUGGGGAAUAUUGGGCAAUGGAGGCAACUCUGACCCAGCAACGCCGCGUGAAUGAUGAAGGUCUUCGGAUUGUAAAGUUCUUUUCUAAGGGAAGAAGAAAGUGACGGUACCUUAGGAAUAAGCCUCGGCUAACUACGUGCCAGCAGCCGCGGUAAUACGUAGGAGGCAAGCGUUAUCCGGAAUGACUGGGCGUAAAGGGUGCGUAGGUGGUUUGACAAGUUAGUAGCGCAACUCCGGAGCUCAACUUCGGAACUACUACUAAAACUGUUGGACUUGAGUGCAGGAGGGGCAAUCGGAAUUCCUAGUGUAGCGGUGGAAUGCGUAGAUAUUAGGAGGAACACCAGUGGCGAAGGCGGAUUGCUAGACUGUAACUGACACUGAGGCACGAAAGCGUGGGGAGCAAACAGGAUUAGAUACCCUUGUAGUC